rnacentral:lncRNA from 1 species
UGAAUUCAUUCUUCCAGAUUUGUUGCACAUUCCUAGCCUCUUUGAACUUAAAAAAUGUCCAUCCACCUUGCUUCAUUCAUAUGCUAUCCCUUGUUGGCCCAAAACUGCUUCAAAAUGCUCCAAAUUGCACUUUCUUGCCAUCUUUAUCAUUCGGACCUUCAAACCCACAAAAAUAGCUUAAAUCACUAUAAUAAAUAGAAACUAGCUAUGAAAAUGCAAGAAAACAAUCUAACUAAGUCGCAUAAAUAUGCGCUUAUCAAAUUCCCCCACACUUAGCUUUUGCUAGUCCUCGAGCAAAACGAAACAAACAAAACAUAACCUAGACCUUCCAACGUUUGUGUCAAGGAUUUCCAAUAAGACAUGACACAUUAAAAAUCACUACUCACAUAGAUUUUAGCUAUCCUUACCCUCGAGCACACACUUAAUCGCAGUCACCACUCACUAGCUCGCAUUUAAUCAAUUAAAACAACAUUUUGAAUGUAGUAACAUGCCUUAGAGAAUUCCCUCAAUUCCUCACCAGAUAUACUCGCUAUUUUGACAUACAUUUUCUGACUACACUCCCUAUACUAGGUAUAUGUGAGAAGAUUGAUGUAAACAUGUAGACUAGCACUCACAUACGUUAUAAUCAAAGAAUGCACUUUCUGGAAUUAUUAAUAUAACAUGUAUAUAUGAUCUCAUGAACGGAAUGCCACUACUUAGAAGCGAGAACUAGGGAUCCCAUUACAACCAAGAUACAAGUCAAAGGGUUGUAAUGGGACUAAGGGUAUUGGCUAACAAAAAACGGUUAAGGAUAAACAAAGAUUCUUAAAGCAAUAGUAAGCAAAGUAAUGAAAUCAACACUUAGAAUUCAACUUCUGAAUGCAGCAACUAACUUUAAACACAAGGGGAAGAUUCACACAACACUUAGGGCCAGAUUCAAACUUUUGGACCCUUCUUCAACAACCAAUACUUGUGAGUUCAUUCUCACUGAUUUUGAACUUUUUCUCUUUUUCUUCUUUUCUUUUCCACGUUUUUUUUUCUUUUUUAUUCUUUUUCGUUGGAAAUAACCUUCCCCCACACUUAUUUUCUGCAAAAUGUUGAUCAAAAGGAAUUCCCUCUAAGUCAUGCUCUACUAUACUUUAAGAACAAGGGUAUGGAUAUUCCUAUGCUAGGCUAGGUAAGGAUAAUGUGGCUAACAAAGAAAAUAUGCUAAUUAAGUCUCAAAGGGGUUAAACCUACAAUACAUAUGCAAGGGAUUAAGGCUUUUUGGCUCUGGUGGUAACUAAGCAACUUCACCUUGUUAUAUGUUAUGCACUCAAUUUAAAGCUUUGAAUGAAGCGGGCAUGAGUUCUAGUAUUUGGAACUAUAAUGAUGAAAAAGCAUUCUAAGUAGCAACCAAGCAAAGAAAUAAUGAGAUCAUGCAACGACUUUAGAAAACAACAAAUCACAGAUUAAUAACUCUCCAAACAAAGUUUAGGCUCAAGUCUCUCAUGGUUGUAGCAUUAGUUUGAGUUCCUUCCUUCAAGCAUGUUACAAAAACUGAUUUUUUUUCUCUUUUGUGAUUACAUGUGAAUUCGUUAAUGACAACUACAACCAAGUAUUAACCAAAGAGCAUAUCAAACUUCCACCCAUGUUUAUAAUUUUCUUUAACAAUCAUGCAAUUAAAAACCAAAUCCUCAUCAUUGUGUUGGAAGGUAUCCUAAGACACAAACACACAAAAACGACUCUAAAACGACUCUUUUUAGUUUUUUCAAAACUUUUUCUAAUUUUUUUUUUCUUUCAAAUUUUCGUAUUUUUCUUUCAAAACACACUAAAACACUUCAAAACACACUAAAAACACUUAAAAACAGUGAAACCUAACUUUAGAGGUGCUAGGUGGUAAAAUCCCAUGAAAAUCAAUGAAAAACACUUUGUUUAUCCCCCCACACUUAAACCAAACAUUGUCCUCAAUGUUUCAAAUAUAGACUAACAUGCAAGCAAGUAAACAACAUAACUAACAAACAUGACAAUUAUGGCAAAGUAAAAGCAAUAAAGAGUAGUAGAAUUUAAGAACGAAAAUCUGGUUAUGGAGCCGGAGAUUCCUAGGUCUUCUUUAUUUGAAUG